UGUUUUGUAGCUUAAUUGGUUAAAGCGCCGGUCUAGCGUACACGGAGUCGUGAGUUCGAGUCUCACUAGAACGC
rnacentral:tRNA from 1 species